rnacentral:tRNA from 1 species
GCCGCCUUAGCUCAGCUGGUAGAGCAACCGCCUUGUAAGCGGUGGGUCCGGGGUUCGAGUCCCCGAGGCGGCUCCA